rnacentral:tRNA from 1 species
GCCGUGGUAGCUCAGAUGGCAAGGGCGUCUAGCUCCUGAUUAGAAGGUCCCAGGUUUAAUCCCAGGAUGGGGCA